rnacentral:misc_RNA from 1 species
GUAAGUUAAUGGUGAAAUUAUUUGCAGAUUGUUGUAUUCGCCAAACUUCGUUUAUGAUACAUUUUCUAUUCACUAAAAUACUAGCAAAUUCUAUUAUAAAGUUAGCGAAGAGUAAAAGAAGGAGCCUCGAGUGGUUCAAGAAAGACUAGAAUCAACUUGUCUUAUUCGCCACGAAGAACUUUAUCGUCCAAAGUCUGUGAAUCUCUUUAUUAAGGAACUGAAAGGUGUUUCUAAAUCAACCUCUUCAACAUCAAACACGAAAGAGAGAACAGAGAGUACCGUUGGAAAAAUCAACUUAUUCUUUUUUGUUAUUUCGAUACAUUCACUUGUCGUAAGGUUCCAUGCACACCAUACAGCGUCAAACGAAACCAUAGUGUCACGUGGUCGCACAUGGAUCAUCGCUGGAUCUAGAUCAUCCUUAUCGAUCCUUUUACAUCUCGAUCGAAAAGAAUUUAUAACGUUUUAAAAAAGUGUUUAACGUAAACUUGGGCCAAGAAAUCUAUUAAUAAGUAUAUUUAUAAGACUUUCUUUUAGCGUUACGAAGUACGCAGAUAAUCUCGCAAUAACGAAGUAUCAAUGACUAUAACAAAAGAAUCUCUGAACUAAAAAUAAGGUGCACUAGGAAGAAACGCUACAAUUUUAUAACAAACAAUAUUUGAUCGAAACGAUGAAUAAACGUAACAG